UACGGUGCUGAAGCAACAAAUGCCCUGCUUCCAGGAAAAGCCUCUAAGCAUCAGGUAACAUCAAAUCGUACCCCAAACCGACACAGGUGGUCAGGUAGAGAAUACCAAGGCGCUUGAGAGAACUCGGGUGAAGGAACUAGGCAAAAUGGUGCCGUAACUUCGGGAGAAGGCACGCUGACACGUAGGUGAAGUGAUUUACUCAUGGAGCUGAAGUCAGUCGAAGAUACCAGCUGGCUGCAACUGUUUAUUAAAAACACAGCACUGUGCAAACACGAAAGUGGACGUAUACGGUGUGACGCCUGCCCGGUGCCGGAAGGUUAAUUGAUGGGGUCAGCGCAAGCGAAGCUCCUGAUCGAAGCCCCGGUAAACGGCGGCCGUAACUAUAACGGUCCUAAGGUAGCGAAAUUCCUUGUCGGGUAAGUUCCGACCUGCACGAAUGGCGUAAUGAUGGCCAGGCUGUCUCCACCCGAGACUCAGUGAAAUUGAACUCGCUGUGAAGAUGCAGUGUACCCGCGGCAAGACGGAAAGACCCCGUGAACCUUUACUAUAGCUUGACACUGAACAUUGAGCCUUGAUGUGUAGGAUAGGUGGGAGGCUUUGAAGUGUGGACGCCAGUCUGCAUGGAGCCGACCUUGAAAUACCACCCUUUAAUGUUUGAUGUUCUAACGUGGACCCGUAAUCCGGGUUGCGGACAGUGUCUGGUGGGUAGUUUGACUGGGGCGGUCUCCUCCUAAAGAGUAACGGAGGAGCACGAAGGUUGGCUAAUCCUGGUCGGACAUCAGGAGGUUAGUGCAAUGGCAUAAGCCAGCUUGACUGCGAGCGUGACGGCGCGAGCAGGUGCGAAAGCAGGUCAUAGUGAUCCGGUGGUUCUGAAUGGAAGGGCCAUCGCUCAACGGAUAAAAGGUACUCCGGGGAUAACAGGCUGAUACCGCCCAAGAGUUCAUAUCGACGGCGGUGUUUGGCACCUCGAUGUCGGCUCAUCACAUCCUGGGGCUGAAGUAGGUCCCAAGGGUAUGGCUGUUCGCCAUUUAAAGUGGUACGCGAGCUGGGUUUAGAACGUCGUGAGACAGUUCGGUCCCUAUCUGCCGUGGGCGCUGGAGAACUGAGGGGGGCUGCUCCUAGUACGAGAGGACCGGAGUGGACGCAUCACUGGUGUUCGGGUUGUCAUGCCAAUGGCACUGCCCGGUAGCUAAAUGCGGAAGAGAUAAGUGCUGAAAGCAUCUAAGCACGAAACUUGCCCCGAGAUGAGUUCUCCCUGAGACUUAGAGUCUCCUGAAGGAACGUUGAAGACGACGACGUUGAUAGGCCGGGUGUGUAAGCGCAGCGAUGCGUUGAGCUAACCGGUACUAAUGAACCGU
rnacentral:rRNA from 1 species